rnacentral:rRNA from 1 species
CCUACGGGAGGCAGCAGUGGGGAAUAUUGCACAAUGGAGGAGACCCUGAUGCAGCGACGCCGCGUGAGGGAAGACGUAAUUCGUUAUGUAAAGCUCUAUCAGCAAAGGAGUAAAUGACGGUACCUGAGUCAGAAGCCCCGGCUAACUACGUGCCAGCAGCCGCGGUAAUACGGAGGGGGCAAGCGUUAUCCGGAUUUACUGGGUGUAAAGGGAGCGUAGACGGCAGGGCAAGUCUGGAGUGAAAGGCGGCGGCUCAACCCCCGAACUGCUCUGGAAACUGUACGGCUGGAGUGCAGGAGAGGUAAGUGGAAUUCCUGGUGUAGCGGUGAAAUGCGUAGAUAUUAGGAGGAACACCAGUGGCGAAGGCGGCUUACUGGACUGUAACUGACGUUGAGGCUCGAAAGCGUGGGGAGCAAACAGGAUUAGAUACCCUUGUAGUC